rnacentral:rRNA from 1 species
AGAGUUUGAUCCUGGCUCAGAAUGAACGUUGGCGGCGUGGAUUAGGCAUGCAAGUCGAGCGGAAAGGCCCGCAAGGGCACUCGAGCGGCGUAAGGGACAGUAACGUGUAGGUACGUACCCCCGGGUCUAGGAUAGCUGCGGGAAACUGCAAUUAAUACUAGAUAACGUCUCCGGACCAAAGGUGUGAUUCCACCUGGGGAGCGGCCUACAUCCUAUUAGCUAGUUGGCGAGGUAAUGGCUCACCAAGGCAAAGAUGGGUAGCAGGUGUGAGAGCACGACCUGCGUCACUGGGACUGAGACACUGCCCAGACACCUACGGGUGGCUGCAGUCGAGAAUCUUCGGCAAUGGGCGAAAGCCUGACCGAGCGACGCCGCGUGUGGGAUGAAGGCCUUCGGGUUGUAAACCACUGUCGGAGGGGAUGAAGUGUUAGUGGGUUCUCCCAUUAACUUGACUGAUCCUCGGAGGAAGGGUGGGCUAAGUUCGUGCCAGCAGCCGCGGUAAGACGUACCACCCAAACGUUAUUCGGAAUCACUGGGCUUAAAGAGUCCGUAGGCGGCUCGAAAAGUUGGAUGUGAAAUACCUCGGCCUAACCGAGGAACUGCAUUCAAAACUACCGGGCUUGAGAGAGACAGAGGUAAGCGGAACUGAUGGUGGAGCGGUGAAAUGCGUUGAUAUCAUCAGGAACACCGGUGGCGAAAGCGGCUUACUGGGUCUCUUCUGACGCUGAGGGACGAAAGCUAGGGGAGCGAACGGGAUUAGAUACCCCGGUAGUCCUAGCCUUAAACGAUGAGCACUAGAUC